GCCCGUGUAGUUCAGUGGUAGAACGGCUCAUUCGUAAUGAGCAAGUCGCCGGUUCAAAUCCGGCCGCGGGCU
rnacentral:tRNA from 1 species